rnacentral:rRNA from 1 species
CUACGGGAUGCACCAGUGGGGAAUAUUGGACAAUGGGGGAAACCCUGAUCCAGCAAUGCCGCGUGUGUGAAGAAGGCCUGCGGGUUGUAAAGCACUUUCGGUUGGGAGGACUGCUUCUAGCACUAAUAUUGUUGGAAGUUGACGUUACCUUUAGAAGAAGCACCGGCUAACUCCGUGCCAGCAGGCCGCGGUAAUACGGAGGGUGCAAGCGUUAAUCGGAAUUACUGGGCGUAAAGCGCGCGUAGGCGGCUAGAUCAGUCGGGUGUGAAAGCCCCGGGCUUAACCUGGGAACUGCAUCCGAUACUGUCUAGCUUGAGUACAGGAGAGGAGAGUGGAAUUCCACAUGUAGCGGUGAAAUGCGUAGAUAUGUGGAGGAACACCAAUGGCGAAGGCAGCUCUCUGGCCUGAUACUGACGCUGAGGUGCGAAAGCGUGGGGAGCAAACAGGAUUAGAUACCCUAGUAGUC